rnacentral:tRNA from 1 species
GCGGGUGUGGCUGAGUGGUCAGGCACCGGUCUGCAAAACCGUUUACACGGGUUCGAAUCCCGUCACUCGCU